UGGGGAAUAUUGGACAAUGGGCGCAAGCCUGAUCCAGCCAUACCGCGUGGGUGAAGAAGGCCUUCGGGUUGUAAAGCCCUUUUGUUGGGAAAGAAAAGCAGCGGGCUAAUACCUUGCUGUUCUGACGGUACCCAAAGAAUAAGCACCGGCUAACUUCGUGCCAGCAGCCGCGGUAAUACGAAGGGUGCAAGCGUUACUCGGAAUUACUGGGCGUAAAGCGUGCGUAGGUGGUUGUUUAAGUCUGUUGUGAAAGCCCUGGGCUCAACCUGGGAACUGCAGUGGAAACUGGAUGACUAGAGUGUGGUAGAGGGUAGCGGAAUUCCCGGUGUAGCAGUGAAAUGCGUAGAGAUCGGGAGGAACAUCCAUGGCGAAGGCAGCUACCUGGACCAACACUGACACUGAGGCACGAAAGCGUGGGGAGCAAACA
rnacentral:rRNA from 1 species